rnacentral:rRNA from 1 species
GGUUACUGCUAUCGGUGUUCGCCUAAGCCAUGCGAGUCAUAUGUUCUUCGGAACAUGGCGUACUGCUCAGUAACACGUGGAUAACCUGCCCUUGGGUCCGGCAUAACCCCGGGAAACUGGGGAUAAUUCCGGAUAACGCACAUAUGCUGGAAUGCUUUAUGCGUCAAAUGGAUUCGUCUGCCCAAGGAUGGGUCUGCGGCCUAUCAGGUAGUAGUGGGUGUAAUGUACCUACUAGCCUACGACGGGUACGGGUUGUGAGAGCAAGAGCCCGGAGAUGGAUUCUGAGACAUGAAUCCAGGCCCUACGGGGCGCAGCAGGCGCGAAAACUUUACAAUGCGGGAAACCGUGAUAAGGGGACACCGAGUGCCAGCAUCAUAUGCUGGCUGUCCGGGUGUGUAAAAUACACCUGUUAGCAAGGGCCGGGCAAGACCGGUGCCAGCCGCCGCGGUAACACCGGCGGCCCGAGUGGUGAUCGUGAUUAUUGGGUCUAAAGGGUCCGUAGCCGGUUUGGUCAGUCCUCCGGGAAAUCUGACGGCUUAACCGUUAGGCUUUCGGGGGAUACUGCCAGACUUGGAACCGGGAGAGGUAAGAGGUACUACAGGGGUAGGAGUGAAAUCUUGUAAUCCCUGUGGGACCACCUGUGGCGAAGGCGUCUUACCAGAACGGGUUCGACGGUGAGGGACGAAAGCUGGGGGCACGAACCGGAUUAGAUACCCGGGUAGUCCCAGCCGUAAACGAUGCUCGCUAGGUGUCAGGCAUGGCGCGACCGUGUCUGGUGCCGCAGGGAAGCCGUGAAGCGAGCCACCUGGGAAGUACGGCCGCAAGGCUGAAACUUAA